rnacentral:rRNA from 1 species
UACGGAGGGUGCAAGCGUUGUCCGGAUUUAUUGGGUUUAAAGGGUGCGUAGGCGGUUCUUUAAGUCUGGGGUGAAAGCCCGUUGCUCAACAACGGAACUGCCCUGGAAACUGGAGGACUUGAGUACAGACGAGGGUGGCGGAAUGGAUGCUGUAGCGGUGAAAUGCAUAGAUAGCAUCCAGAACCCCGAUUGCGAAGGCAG